UGCCUGAUGGAGGGGGAUAACUACUGGAAACGGUGGCUAAUACCGCAUAACGUCGCAAGACCAAAGAGGGGGACCUUCGGGCCUCUUGCCAUCAGAUGUGCCCAGAUGGGAUUAGCUAGUUGGUGAGGUAACGGCUCACCAAGGCGACGAUCCCUAGCUGGUCUGAGAGGAUGACCAGCCACACUGGAACUGAGACACGGUCCAGACUCCUACGGGAGGCAGCAGUGGGGAAUAUUGCACAAUGGGCGCAAGCCUGAUGCAGCCAUGCCGCGUGUAUGAAGAAGGCCUUCGGGUUGUAAAGUACUUUCAGCGGGGAGG
rnacentral:rRNA from 1 species